CUACUAUUGGUCGAAAGAUCGCACUCCUGUUGGAAGAAGAUGAACAGAAGAGAAUAAGACUUUCGUUUUGUCGAUGUACAAACGGAAUCCUUGUCUCUACAAAUAUUUGUCCACCUACUUUCAAUUGUCAUCAAUCCGGAUACUAAAACAAGUUUUGUCAAGGAUUCCUUUUGACACUGGAAUAAAUGAACUCCUUCUAGAACAAUUAAAAAUAAAAAGCGAUGAAAUGGACGAACUAGAUCGAUAUUGCACUUUAGUAUUCGAUGAAAUAUCCUUAAGUAAAGGUUAUCAUUACGAAGCACAUAAAGAGCAGAUUACUGAAGAUUAUGAAGAUAGAUGAGUUGGGUCGAACUUCUAAAAACUGUUAAUCAUGCGCUCGUUUUUAUGAUUCGUGGCCUGAGAAGAUCUUGAAAGAGAUGGUAUCAAAGUAAAAGUAACAGUUUGCGACCAAGGAAACCACUCAAAGAAGAACCCUAUCCGAAUUGUGUGCAGAGAAUAAGAAGUUUCCAAAGAAGAUGAAAGGCUAAUAAAGAUUCGUUAUUUGCAACUCAACUGUUACAUAAUCAUCAAGUAUCAUUGGUUUAACAAGUUAUUGCAAAAUCAGAACUUGUAUGUCCAAAUAAUGACACAAGUGAUACACAAAAAACAUCAAGAGAAUGUAAAAAUUCUACUGAAGAAAAAGAUAUAACAUAUUACUACAC
rnacentral:lncRNA from 1 species